GAGUAAUAUAUAGGUAACGUGCCCUAGAGAGGGGGAUAACAUUUGGAAACGAAUGCUAAUACCCCAUAUGCCUUUAAGUCUUAGGACUGCAAGGGAAAUAUUUAUAGCUCUAGGAUCGGCCUGUACGGUAUCAGUUUGUUGGUGAGGUAAUGGCUCACCAAGACUAUGACGCCUAACUGGUUUGAGAGGAUGAUCAGUCACACUGGAACUGAGACACGGUCCAG
rnacentral:rRNA from 1 species